AUGCAGGUCAAUUCCNNNNNNNNNNNNCAAGAUUCUGCAGCUGUGAGGUUAUGCGAUGUUGUUAAGGUCUCCCAUGUGCCACCAGCAGGGGCUGCAACAGGAAGCCAGAUGGUCCAGCCCCAGAGCCCGGGUUCCUUACUCCAACUCUCAACACCCGCUGCAGUUUUCUGUUCAAGCCCCACCAUUAUGGCAAGAGGUGAGACCUCAGAGACCAGGGGAGUCAACCCAACUCAGAAGUGCUCCCCGGGAAAUGCAGGCGGGGCUGGGGGGUGGACUGUCUGCUGUGUCCAUGCCCACAUGCUUCCCUCUGGGUCCACUGUGUUGGUGGCCCUGGUCUGGGUGGGGGUUGUGCCUCUUGAAACCUACAGGCUCUGUGGACACGGUCGGGGGUGGAGGGGGGGGCAGGAAGCGGGAACUGGGGCGGAGCUACCAGGAGCUCAGUUUGGUCUCAGGACAUUCUUUCUUCACAGCCAGACUCAGCUCUGUGUGCCUUUUGAAAGGCAGCAGAGAAUAUCUGUGCUCAGCCCAACGAGGCUGGCCUCUUUCAACCUUCCCCUUGCUGCCAUUUCCAAUUACAACUUCAGAGGCGCCUGUAAUUUAUACAUCUCAGGAUGCACUGCUCCAGCUGCUUUAUGA
rnacentral:lncRNA from 1 species